GUUUACCUAUUGUCGCUGUCUGGAAGUUCUCUGAUCACUUCCGGUUUCUUCCCAUGUGGUUUCCAAGAAACUGUCUGGCAAUUCAGCAGGCCCUCAGACCUCGGACUACCGCCCCCAGCCUCAACAGUGUGAACGCGGUUGGUCUCAGUUAUACUAAACUCCCGGGGGGACUUGAACUUCCGGUCAGCUGACAGCAUCCGGCAACAGUGAGUACAGGGAACGUGUCAAACUACCGAACGGGGGUCGCGCUCACACGAACACCAAA